UGCGGACGGGUGAGUAACGCUGGGUAACCUGCCUUACACAGGGGGAUAACACCUGGAAACAGGUGCUAAUACCGCAUAAGCGCACGGGACUGCAUGGUUCUGUGUGAAAACUCCGGUGGUAUGAGAUGGGUCCGCGUCUGAUUAGCUAGUUGGCAGGGUAACGGCCUACCAAGGCGACGAUCAGUAGCCGGCCUGAGAGGGUGUACGGCCACAUUGGGACUGAGACACGGCCCAAACUCCUACGGAAGGCAGCAG
rnacentral:rRNA from 1 species